GCCCUAAGAGGCCCCACCGCUANNAGAGNGGGACUAAACGGUGCCUGAAGAGGUACCAAUGCCUGGCGAACGGCUCAGUAACACGUAGUCAACAUGCCCAGGGGACGUGGAUAACCUCGGGAAACUGAGAAUAAACCACGAUAGGUCACGAUUUCUGGAAUGGAUCAUGGCCUAAAUCUACAUGGCCCCUGGAUUGGACUGCGGCCGAUCAGGCUGUUGGUGAGGUAAUGGCCCACCAAACCUAUAACCGGUACGGGCUCUGAGAGGAGAAGCCCGGAGAUGGGCACUGAGACAAGGGCCCAGGCCCUAUGGGGCGCAGCAGGCGCGAAACCUCUGCAAUAGGCGAAAGCCUGACAGGGUUACUCUGAGUGAUUUCCGCUAAGGGGAUCUUUUGGCACCUCUAAAAAUGGUGCAGAAUAAGGGGUGGGCAAGUCUGGUGUCAGCCGCCGCGGUAAUACCAGCACCCCGAGUGGUCGGGACGAUUAUUGGGCAUAAAGCAUCCGUAGCCGGCUACGCAAGUCUCCGGUUAAAUCCAGCUGCUCAACAGAUGGGCUGCCGGAGAUACUACAUAGCUAGGGAGCGGGAGAGGUAGACGGUAUUCUGUGGGUAGGGGUAAAAUCCACUGAUCCAUAGAGGACCACCAGUGGAGAAGGCGGUCUACCAGAACGCGUUAGACGGUGAGGGAUGAAAGCUGGGGGAGCAAACCGGAUUAGAUACCCGGGUAGUCCCAGCUGUAAACGAUGCAAACUCGGUGAUGCAUUGGCUUAUGGCCAAUGCCAUGCCGCAUGGUAGUCGCCAAUUUUGCCGCCUGCUAAGCCCGACCCCAUUCUUCAAACUAAAUGAAUUGGCGGCGGUACACAUGCCUAAAUUU
rnacentral:rRNA from 1 species